UCUCCGUUGGUGAACCAGCGGAGGGAUCAUUACAGGAUCGGAAGACUCCUAUAACCCCUGUGAACUUACUACAAAUACGUUGCUUCGGCGGGUGCCCCGGGUCUCCCGGGGCGUUCAGCCCGCCGGCAGCCUUCAAAUUCUGUUUCUUUGCGUUGGCAUCUCGAGUAUACAAAAAUAAGUUAAAACUUUCAACAACGGAUCUCUUGGUUCUG
rnacentral:misc_RNA from 1 species